GUUGCCCGUGGAUACAACAGGGGGAGCUUCAAAGCGGUUGUCUACAGUCGAGAGCGGCAGUCUGACUGGACGGAGGCAUCUGCGAUUUCCUUGCAGAUGGGUUAAAGGCGAACCAUCUGGGAAGUGCACGGACAAUAGUUAUUACUAGCGUACCUAAAGAAAAAAGCAAAUUCCAGUUUAUCUUGUAGAUUCUCACCGGCCGCUAAUAGAAUCCCCGGGUUCUUUUCCUUACGACUGGUGCGCAUCUUGUCUGGGUUGCCUUAUAGGACAAACAGCAGGAUCUUACAUUUCAUCUUAACUGACAAGCUUUUUGUCGAAACCAAACUCACUGGAAGAGAUGGAUAACGAAAAGUACUUGCCAGAACUGAUGGCGGAGAAGGAUUCUCUUGACCCGUCCUUCCAGCACUCAUUGCGGCUUCUUGACCAAGAAAUCGAAAAGGUCCAGAAAGACGAAGACAAAGAGGAUGAGAAGUUCAUUGAUGUAGUCAUCAACAAGAACAUGAAACUGGGACAGAAGGUUUUGAUCCCUGUAAAACAGUUUCCCAAAUUUAAUUUUGUGGGUAAACUCCUGGGCCCUCGAGGGAACUCAUUAAAGAGACUACAAGAGGACACACUGACCAAGAUGUCCAUCCUCGGAAAGGGAUCCAUGAGAGACAAAGAAAAGGAAGAAGAACUGCGAAAGAGCGGAGAGACAAAGUAUCAUCAUCUUAACGAAGAUCUUCAUGUGCUGAUCGAGGUGUUUGCGCCGCCCGCUGAAGCGUAUGCGAGAAUGGGACAUGCUUUGGAGGAGAUCAAAAAAUUCCUUAUUCCGGACUAUAAUGAUGAGAUCAGACAGGCUCAGCUACAGGAGCUGACUUAUCUGAACGGCGGCUCGGAGGAUGCCAAAGUCCCUGCGGCUAGGGGCAAAAGCAGCACACGGGGCAGAGGAACGUCAGCGCCAGGACCGCACAGAUGUAGAGGGGGUGUUCCUCCUCCUCAGGCUGCAGUCCCGCGGGGGGUGGCGCCCAGAGGAGCUCCGCCCAGCAGGGUUCCGUCCAGCAGAGUAAGGGGAGUUCCUUCUAAGAGAGCACGAGGAGCUCCACCCCCACCUGGGUACAGACCUCCCCCUCCAGUGGUGCAGGAUACCUAUGGUGAAUAUGAAUACGAUGAUGGAUAUGGAACAGCCUAUGAUGAGCAGGGAUAUGACUCAUAUGACAACAACUACAACAAUCAGGCACCAAACUCAGAUGAUUAUUAUGAAUACAGCCAUGGUAUCAGUGGAGAAUCAUAUGACUCUUACGGCCCGGAGGAAUGGACAAACAACCGCAACAAGGCGCCACCAGCAAGGAAAAGCAAAGGAGUGUUCAGAGAGCAGCCGUACUCCCGAUUCUGACCUGCUACAGUCCUUCAUGUGCCCUCCCAAAUUGCAAUAACUGGGCUUAAAGCCAUGAAAUGAUACUGAUGCUCUUCUCAGAUUUGUUAAGGCAGGUUUGUCCACAUCUUCUGAUUUUGAAGACUACUGCAUGGUUGCCAUCGUAGAGAGCUUGUGCUCAACCAGAAAAACACAAUGAGCACACUUAAAAAGUCCCUUGUGGCCCACAGUGGAGCAUGCUUCUCCACAGGGAAGACUCCAUUUCUACUGGAACUUUCUGGAGAAGGCUUCUGAACCUCUGCGAGGUCACAAGGCACCACACUAAGAGCGUUGAUGUGCCAAUGACGGGCAGACGAGCAGUCCACCCUUCUCUCUGCGGUCCUCAGGGGAGACGUGCUGGGGAAAUGCUGCUUUCACAGCUGCCUCAGAUGUGCUAUAUAGGCUCCUACAUGCAUUUUGCAGCAGGCUGCACUGAGGGUGAACUCAGUUCUGUCUGCACACAGACUUAUGGGUAAUGGGGGCAUGUGUCAUGUGCUUACACAUUAAGACAGGGGUUUUACUCUUCUCACAGGAGCCAGAGUAAGAAAGACAGUAGGUGAUGUGAGUGGGAAAGGCGAAUUAAAUAUGAAUACUACAUAUAUCACACACAAAUGAACAUGAUAUAGAUA